AUCCAGACUCCUACGGGAGGCAGCAGUGGGGGAUAUUGCACAAUGGGGGGAACCCUGAUGCAGCGACGCCGCGUGGGUGAAGGAGUGCUUCGGCAUGUAAAGCCCUAUCGGCAGGGAAGAAGCAAGACGGUACCUGACUAAGAAGCUCCGGCUAACUACGUGCCAGCAGCCGCGGUAAUACGUAGGGAGCGAGCGUUAUCCGGAUUUACUGGGUGUAAAGGGGGCGCAGACGGCAGCGCAAGCCAGGAGUGAAAGCCCGGGGCCCAACCCCGGGACUGCUCUUGGAACUGCGCGGCUGGAGUGCAGGAGGGGCAGGCGGAAUUCCUGGUGUAGCGGUGAAAUGCGUAGAUAUCAGGAGGAACACCGGUGGCGAAGGCGGCCUGCUGGACUGCGACUGACGUUGAGGCCCGAAAGCGUGGGGAGCAAACAGGAUUAGAUACCCCGGUACU
rnacentral:rRNA from 1 species